AAGGGCACCACAAGAACGUGUGGAGCAUGUGGCUUAAUUUGACUCAACGCGGGAAAUCUUACCGGGUCCGGACACACUGAGGAUUGACAGGCGCUUGCAUAGCAGCUUCGACCACCCUUGCGGUGGGCGUCGCCGCCAAUGCUUUCAAAUAUGCUAGUCCUUUCAUGAUUGUGUGAUAGGUGGUGCAUGGCCGUUCUUAGUUCGUGGAGUGAUCUGUCUGCUUAAUUGCGUUUCACAAGGGACUUGACUGGUUUACGUUGGCCUGUGGCGCCCGCCCUCUUGCCUGACGGCUGAGUGCCGCGCCUGGGUUUCAAUUGCCAACAGUCCCUAAGGCAACGAACAUGACCGCAACCUCUUGUUGCCUCUCUGUUUUCCACUUCGGCGUUUGGGCUGGGUCCUUUGGGGCUUUCCCGUUCGUCGUUGAGAGAGGUAAACUAGAGGGACCGCCGACGUUUUCAAACCGGAGGAAGGUUGCGGCAAUAACAGGUCUGUGAUGCCCUUAGAUGUUCCGGGCUGCACACGUGCUACAAUGAUUAUUGCAGUGAGCAUCUUCACAAGUUCGUGGGAUGUCUGCGCUGGGGCUCAUCUUGCUGUGCUGGCCUGGUGUUCAUGCGACAGGGCGCGGGGCGGCUUUCGGGCUGCUCUCGCUGCCGUGUGGCGUAGGCCGCGGCCGCCGGCUUUGGACUCUGGCGCGCGUCCGUUAUCACGGCACGCCUGCUUCGAAAGUAAGCAGGUAGUCAAUUCGAAGUAAUGAUUUCCACCCGCACCUCUGAGCGCCAGCGGUCGUCGGCCCUCGGGUCGCAUCCGCAGGCGUGUGCUCCAUAACUUCGUGGUGGGGACAGACCCUUGUUAACUGUUGGUCUCGGUCUCAACUAGGAAUGCCUUGUACGGGUCUUUGGUUCAACAAACCACCCGGAAUAUGUCCCUGCCCUUUGUACACACCGCCCGUCGCUCUUACCGAUGGACUUCUCUGUCAGUUUGAGGGACUAGGACGGCACUCGCUCUCGCCUUCGGGCGUCUGCGCGCUGCCCGACAGAAACUUAAUCGAACAGUGUGGUCUAAAGGAAAGAGAAGUCGUAACAAGGCAUCGGUAGGUGAACCU
rnacentral:rRNA from 1 species